ACACGUAGGGGGCGAGCGUUGUUCGGAAUCAUUGGGCGUAAAGGGCGCGCAGGCGGCCGGGUAAGUCUGGUGUAAAAUGGUCAUGCUCAACGUGAUCAUGCGCUGGAAACUGCUUGGCUUGAGUCAACGAGGGGAUGCCGGAAUUCCAGGUGUAGGGGUGAAAUCUGUAGAUAUCUGGAAGAACACCGAUGGCGAAGGCAGGCAUCUGGCGACUGACUGACGCUGAGGCGCGAAGGUGCGGGGAGCAAACAGGUUUAGAUACCCUGGUAGUCCGCACAGUAAACGAUGUGCGCCAGGUGGCGGGCAGCAGUGCUCGGUACCGAAGCAAACGCAUUAAGUGCACCGCCUGGGGAGUAUGCUCGCAAGGGUGAAACUCAAAUGAAUUGGCGGGG
rnacentral:rRNA from 1 species